rnacentral:rRNA from 1 species
GACAGAGGGUGCAAGCGUUGUUCGGAAUCACUGGGCGUAAAGGGCGUGUAGGCGGCGGAGUAUGUCCGAUGUGAAAUACCUCAGCUUAACUGAGGAAGUGCAUCGGAAACUACUUCGCUAGAGUGCGAGAGAGGGUGGCGGAAUUCCCGGUGUAGAGGUGAAAUUCGUAGAUAUCGGGAGGAACACCAGAGGCGAAGGCGGCCACCUGGUUCGUAACUGACGCUGAGACGCGAAAGCGUGGGUAGCAAACAGG